AUCUUAAUUUUCCAUUUGUUUAGUCCAACUCAUUUUCUUCUUGUUCAAACAUGUCGUUGAAACAACCUGUUAAAAAAAAAAAAAAAAAAAAAAAAAAAAAAAAAAAAAAAAAAAAAAAAAAAAAAAAAAAAAAAAAAAA
rnacentral:rRNA from 12 species